rnacentral:lncRNA from 1 species
AACAUAUGCAUGUUCAAAUCAAAAGGUCUUUUANGGAUGNAAUGGGGUCAAGGANAAGGGAGGAUAACAUAUGGAUGAGAAGCUACAAACCAAAGGAAAUAGAGGAGCAAUGGGGAAUAAGUGAAAACACAGUCAAAUCACACCCAAAACCCUCUAAUUCAAUCCUCUUCUUGACCCCAUUAUUCACAAAAAAAUUUUUUUUUUUCUCAUUUUUUUUUUCAUUUUGUUUUUCAUCUUUUUUUCAUCUUGUCUCUUUUCUUUUCUUUCUUUUCAGAACACAACUCUAAGAGAAAAGAUACACAACAUAUUUACAAAACAAAACAAGAAGAGGAACCAACUAGCCAAUUCAUUUGAAUCUCCCAAGAGACCACACUUAUUCCCAAAACAAAUCCAAAGCUCCAAAAUUCC